CCUACGGGAGGCAGCAGUGGGGAAUUUUGGACAAUGGGCGCAAGCCUGAUCCAGCAAUGCCGCGUGCAGGAUGAAGGCCUUCGGGUUGUAAACUGCUUUUGUACGGAACGAAACGGCGAGCUCUAAUAAAGUUCGCUAAUGACGGUACCGUAAGAAUAAGCACCGGCUAACUACGUGCCAGCAGCCGCGGUAAUACGUAGGGUGCAAGCGUUAAUCGGAAUUACUGGGCGUAAAGCGUGCGCAGGCGGUGAUGUAAGACAGAUGUGAAAUCCCCGGGCUCAACCUGGGACCUGCAUUUGUGACUGCAUCGCUAGAGUACGGUAGAGGGGGAUGGAAUUCCGCGUGUAGCAGUGAAAUGCGUAGAUAUGCGGAGGAACACCGAUGGCGAAGGCAAUCCCCUGGACCUGUACUGACGCUCAUGCACGAAAGCGUGGGGAGCAAACAGGAUUAGAUACCCUGGUAGUCCACGCCCUAAACGAUGUCAACUGGUUGUUGGGUCUUCACUGACUCAGUAACGAAGCUAACGCGUGAAGUUGACCGCCUGGGGAGUACGGCCGCGAAGGUUGAAACGUCAAAGGAAUUGA
rnacentral:rRNA from 1 species